UACGAAGGGUGCUAGCGUUGUUCGGAAUCACUGGGCGUAAAGCGCGCGUAGGCGGCCAUUCAAGUCAGGGGUGAAAUCCCAGAGCUUAACUCUGGAACUGCCUUUGAAACUGUAUGGCUGGAGUGUCGGAGGGGAUGGCGGAAUUCCUAAUGUAGAGGUGAAAUUCGUAGAUAUUAGGAGGAACACCGGUGGCGAAGGCGGCCAUCUGGACGACAACUGACGCUGAGGCGCGAAAGCGUGGGGAUCAAACAGG
rnacentral:misc_RNA from 1 species